CGAGAGGACCGGAGUGGACGCAUCACUGGUGUUCGGGUUGUCAUGCCAAUGGCACUGCCCGGUAGCUAAAUGCGGAAAAGAUAAGUGCUGAAAGCAUCUAAGCACGAAACUUGCCCCGAGAUGAGUCUUCCCUGAGACUUUGAGUCUCCUGAAGGAACGUUAAAGACGAUGACGUUGAUAGGCCGGGUGUGUAAGCGCAGCGAUGCGUUGAGCUAACCGGUACUAAUGAACCGUGAGGCUUAACCUUACAACGCCGAAGCUGUU
rnacentral:rRNA from 1 species